rnacentral:rRNA from 1 species
GUGGGGGAUAACAUUUGGAAACAGAUGCUAAUACCGCAUAGAUCCAAGAACCGCAUGGUUCUUGGCUCAAAGAUGGCGUAAGCUAUCGCUUUUGGAUGGACCCGCGGCGUAUUAGCUAGUUGGUGAGGUGAUGGCUCACCAAGGCGAUGAUACGUAGCCGAACUGAGAGGUUGAUCGGCCACAUUGGGACUGAGACACGGCCCAAACUCCUACGGGAGGCAGCAGUAGGGAAUCUUCCACAAUGGACGCAAGUCUGAUGGAGCAACGCCGCGUGAGUGAAGAAGGCUUUCGGGUCUUUAAACUCUGUUGUUGGAGAAGAAUGGUCGGCAGAGUAACUGUUGUCGGCGUGACGGUAUCCAACCAGAAAGCCACGGCUAACUACGUGCCAGCAGCCGCGGUAAUACGUAGGUGGCAAGCGUUAUCCGGAUUUAUUGGGCGUAAAGCGAGCGCAGGCGGUUUUUUAAGUCUGAUGUGAAAGCCCUCGGCUUAACCGAGGAAGCGCAUCGGAAACUGGGAAACUUGAGUGCAGAAGAGGACAGUGGAACUCCAUGUGUAGCGGUGAAAUGCGUAGAUAUAUGGAAGAACACCAGUGGCGAAGGCGGCUGUCUGGUCUGUAACUGACGCUGAGGCUCGAAAGCAUGGGUAGCGAACAGGAUUAGAUACCCUGGUAGUCCAU